rnacentral:tRNA from 1 species
UCACAGGGGGUCCAGCGGUUAAGACACUGCACUUCUGCUGCAGGGGCACAGGUUCAAGCCCUGGUUGGGGAG